CCCAGCCCUGCUCCCCUUGGAGGAUAAAACUGUGGCCCACCGGGCCCUCAGGGCGGAGUUCCUUGCCUGUCUGCUUGCAUAGAAGUAGAUCUAUUUCUUGCCUGUCCUCUGUCUCUCUCUGAAUUCCUUCUGCACGAAGCAUAAAGAACCUGAACCUCAGUAAACCCAGACAUCAGAGUUGAAGAGACUGAGACUUGACUCUGGCUCCUUACCUGACCCAAGGGUUUAGCUACCCCAGUGGCCAUAAGGAGAGCAACUGCGCCAUCUGCUGGCCAUCCUGGGCAAGCUCCGGCCGCGCCCCGGUGAGGAGUGGGUGGGAGGAAAUUUCCCUGCGGAAGCGGCUUUGGGGCCUAAGAAGAAUCUUGAGUCAAGAAAGGGGCUAUAACAAGUGACAAGCUCUUCCACAGGGAUAACCCAAGGGACAGAGCCCCAUUUCAGCUGGUGGCAGGAAACUGUGCCAGUAGGAGCUCCGUGCACUCAGUUAUAAAAAGGGCAGAACCACAGAAAUAUGAACACUGAAGGAAGAAGGAAGUUGUGCAAAGGUCAACAUCAUGCAGGCAGGAAUGGAGAGCACAGGCCUCUGAGUUGGGAACGGCCAGACGGGAGUGCUCGCUCGGCCCUGGCCCUCCCUCCUCCUCAGGAUCGGGCGCGGACCCCAGGGGACGAGGCUCCACGGACGUCCUCGGCUACGGGGAACAGGCGAUGGUUCUGGCUAAAGGAAUGUCCAGCUGUCCAGACACCGGGCUUCCUGCUUCACGCAGUUUCUGAUGGAUCCCAUGGGAAGCCCAGCGUAUUGGCACUUGGCGGUCUCUAUCUCUGGGUCACAGGGAGUGGAAGGAAAGGAGGAAGAUGAAUUCAUGACAAGGCUGAACUCAACCUGAGCAUGAGGCUGAGGGUUCUCGACCUGGUGCCAAUGGGCUGGCCUCCAGGGUCCACACACACUAAUCCUUGAACAUGAAAAAUCGAGUGUCCUUUCCUAUAGAAAGGAUCCACAGCUUCCAUCAGUUCCUCAAUGGGUGUGGCCCCAGAAGGGUUAAGAAACACCAUUUGAACAGAAGGUGGCUCAGCUUCCAGGAGAUGGCAGACAAAGAGGAGCUCAGGAUUUUUUUUUUCUUGACUUCUCUAGUGUUUCACGGGGGCCGGGUAGAGGGGGGAGCUGGAGGGUGGGGUGGGCAGGAAGAAGAUUGCUCAUCUCUGCCUCAGUUCCAGUAUUUUCCAAACAGAGCUGGAGUCACAGCUCCGUUGUGGUAGAAAAAGCUAGAGAAAUCUGGGCCCAAGUCCUAAUGAGGCCAUUUACUAGCAGGUGACCUCAUCUCGAUGUGCUGAUUUCCUCAUCGAUAAAGGGACGAUAAUAACAUUCACUGUCACAGGAACCCUGGGACAGUAGAUGACACAAUGAAUGCAGACAGCUUUCUGCUCUCCUUCCAUUACUAACCGAAGCUCACAUUACUGAGCCCUUCCUGUUGGCCACAGCAGCGCUAAGUGCUUUUAGGUGUUGAGUUUCCAGGGGUCUGGUGGUCAAGUAAAUACAGCAUCAUGUUAUCUAGUUUCAACUAAACAAACCCUAAAAAAUGAUAGGGGGCUUAAAAAGAUUCCUGAAGAGCGCUUUGGAGUGAACACAAGAUUGUGUGCAUAGAGGAGUGAGGAACGGACACUUCUGCACCUGCUGGUGGGAGCCCCUGAUCGCAGGGCACAGAGAGCGCAGACGGCCCCCACGUACUGGAUGGGAUGCUGGUAAAGUACCCCGAAGGCACAAGGAGGCAACGUCCGAUCCGAACGCACGCUCCUGUUGUUACAGCCAAACUCUACCUGUGAGUGUCUAAGGUGACCUCCAGGAAUCCCCCGAUCAUUGUGACUGACUGAUUUUUUUUUUUUUUUUUGUCUUUUUGCUUUUUCUAGGGCCGCUCCUGCGGCAUAUGGAG